rnacentral:sRNA from 1 species
UUUUUGCGUUAGGGAUUGAAACGGCAUCCUUUUUAUUUUUUUUAAUAAAAAGAUAUAGUGUAAAGCCCGCUCGAAC